AUUGAACGCUGGCGGCAGGCCUAACACCUGCAAGUCGAGCGGAGCGGCGGACGCGUUAGUAAUGCCUAGGAAUCUGCCUGGUAGUGUGGGAUAACGUCCGGAAACGGGCGCUAAUACCGCAUACUAUCAGAUGAGCCUAGGUCGGUUUAGCUAGUUGGUGGGGUAAACGCCUACAAAGGCGACGAUCCGUAACUGGUCUGGGAGGAUGAUCAGUAACACUGGAAAGUAGAAAGGGUCGAGACUCCUAAGGGAGGCAGGAGUGGGGAAGAUUGGACAAUGGGCGAAAGCCUGAUCCAGCCAUGCCGCGUGUGUGAAGAAGGUCUUCGGAUUGUAAAGCACUUGAAGUUGGGAGGCGUUACCAACAGAAUAAGCACCGGCUAACUUCGUGCCAGCAGCCGCGGUAAUAC
rnacentral:rRNA from 1 species